GUAGAUAUAGCUCAGCUGGUUAGAGCGCCGGAUUGUGAUUCCGGAGGUCGUGGGUUCGAGCCCCAUUAUUUACC
rfam:Hymenobacter sp. CCM 8649 NODE_14_length_63076_cov_264.363_ID_27, whole genome shotgun sequence.